AGGAAGCAGCUUGCUGCUUUGCUGACGAGUGGCGGACGGGUGAGUAAUGUCUGGGAAACUGCCUGAUGAGGGGAUAACUACUGGAACGGUAGCUAAUACCGCAUAACGUCGCAAGACCAAAAGAGGGGGACCUUUCGGGCCUCUUGCCAUCAGAUGUACCCAGAUGGGAUUAGCUAGUAGGUGGGGUAACGGCUCACCUAGGCGACGAUCCCUAGCUGGUCUGAGAGGAUGACCAGCCACACUGGAACUGAGACACGGUCCAGACUCC
rnacentral:rRNA from 1 species